AACGUAGGAGACAAACGUUAUCCGGAGUUACUGGGCGUAAAGGGCGCGUAGGUGGUGGCUUAAGCGUGCGGUGAAAGCUCGGGGCUCAACUCCGAGUCGGCCGUGCGAACUGGGCUCACUGGAGCAUAGUAGAGGCAGGUGGAAUUCCGGGUGUAGCGGUGGAAUGCGUAGAGAUCCGGAAGAACACCGGUGGCGAAGGCGGCCUGCUGGGCUAUGGCUGACACUGAGGCGCGACAGCGUGGGGAGCAAACAGG
rnacentral:rRNA from 1 species